rnacentral:lncRNA from 1 species
CUUGCUCUGUCGCCCAGACUGGAGUGCAGUGGUGUGAUCACGGCUUGCUGCAGCCUCGACCUCCCUGGUUCAGGCCAUCCUGCCACCUCAGCCUCCUGAGUAGUAGGGACUACAGGUAGGCACCACCACACCCAGCUAAUACUUUUAAUUUUUUUUUGUAGAGAUAGGGUCUCAUUAUGUUGCCUGGGGUAGUCUCGAACUCCUAGGCUCAAGCGAUCCUCCUGCCUCGGCCUCCCAAAGUGUUGAGAUUAUAGGCGUGAGCCACCGUGCCCAGAUUCACAGAAGUUUCAUACACCUUUCACCCAGGUUCCCCUAAUGUUAACAGCUUACAUAUAACCUUGGUACAUUUAUCAAAACUAAAGGUGCAAUCAUACUAAUAGCUAGAGUUUAUUUGGAUUUUACCAUUUUUCCCAAUGUCCCUUUUCUGCUGCAGCAGCCAAUCCAGGAUGCCAUACUGCACUUAGAGCUGUUGCUUUCUUUUUUCCUAACUUUAUAUUUUGAAAUAAUUUCAGAUGAUAGGAAGUUGUAAAGGUAAGGGCCCCACGCACCCUUCAUCUAGUUUCCCUCCAUGGUUACAUCUUAUAUGGUUGUAAUGCAGUAUUCCAACAAAGACUCUGACACUGGUGCGAUGUGGGUGGACAGUCCAAAUCAUUUGUCACAUGUACAUCUGUGUAACUACCACUGCAAUCAGGAUAAAGAAGUCCCAUCCCCACAAGGAUCUCCCUCCCCACCUUCCCUAACUCCUGGUAACCACUAAUCGUUCAUCUCUUCUUAUUUUGUCAUUUCAAGAAUGUUGUAUAAAUGGGAGCAUAGUGUGUAAGCAUUCGGGAUUGUCUUUUUUCACUCGGCG